rnacentral:tRNA from 1 species
GCACCCGUAGUCUAAUUGGAUAAAACAGUGCCCUCCGACGGCACCAUUGUAGGUUCAAAUCCUAUCGGGUGUACCA